CCUACGGGAGGCAGCAGUGGGGGAUAUUGCACAAUGGGGGGAACCCUGAUGCCGCGACGCCGCGUGGGUGAAGGAGUGCUUCGGCAUGUAAAGCCCUAUCGGCAGGGAAGAAGCAAGACGGUACCUGACUAAGAAGCCCCGGCUAAAUACGUGCCAGCAGCCGCGGUAAUACGUAGGGGGCGAGCGUUAUCCGGAUUCACUGGGGGUAACGGGCGCGUAGACGGCAAUGCAAGCCAGGGUCGACAGCCCGUGGCUCAACCCCGGGACUGCCCGUGGGACUGCAUGGCUUGAGUGCGGGAGGGGCAGGCGGAAUUCCUGGUGGAGCGGUGAAAUGCGGAGAUAUCAGGAGGAACACCGGCGGCGAAGGCGGCCUGCUGGACCGCGACUGACGUUGAGGCUCGAAAGCGUGGGGAGCGAACAGGAUUAGAUACCCCAGUAGUC
rnacentral:rRNA from 1 species